rnacentral:rRNA from 1 species
UACGUAGGCAGCAAGCGUUGUUCGGAGUUACUGGGCGUAAAGGGUGCGUAGGCGGUCCUAUAAGUAUGGUGUGAAAUCUCCCGGCUUAACUGGGAGGGUGCGCUAUAGACUGUGGGACUAGAGUGUGGGAGAGGAAAGUGGAAUUCCUGGUGUAGCGGUGAAAUGCGUAGAUAUCAGGAGGAACACCGGUGGUGUAAACGGCUUUUUUGGACCAUAACUGACGCUGAGGCA